rnacentral:misc_RNA from 1 species
GCUCCUGUACACUGCUGCCUCAGCUGGUGAUGUGAGCUUCGUCAAGGAAUUGUUGGAGAGAGAUCCUCUUCUUGUUUUUGGCGAAGGAGAAUAUGGUGUUACUGAUAUACUGUAUGCUGCAGCCAGGAGCAAGAAUUCUGAUGUUUUCAAGCUCCUGCUUGAUUUCUCAAUGUCAAGGAGGUGUGGCCUUAACUCUGGAAAAGGGAUGGAGGAGCAGUUGGGUGAGAAUUAUUCAGAUUUUAGACAGGAGAUGAUGAAUAGGGCUGUUCAUGCUGCGGCUAGAGGUGGUAAUUUGGACAUUUUGAAGGAGCUUCUUAGAGAUUGCUCUGAUGUCUUUGUUUAUAAAGACGCUCAAGGGUCCACUGUCUUGCAU